rnacentral:rRNA from 1 species
GCAGCAUGGUCUUAGCUUGCUAAGGCUGAUGGCGACCGGCGCACGGGUGAGUAACACGUAUCCAACCUGCCGUCUACUCUUGGACAGCCUUCUGAAAGGAAGAUUAAUACAAGAUGGCAUCAUGAGUCCGCAUGUUCACAUGAUUAAAGGUAUUCCGGUAGACGAUGGGGAUGCGUUCCAUUAGAUAGUAGGCGGGGUAACGGCCCACCUAGUCUUCGAUGGAUAGGGGUUCUGAGAGGAAGGUCCCCCACAUUGGAACUGAGACACGGUCCAAACUCCUACGGGAGGCAGCAGUGAGGAAUAUUGGUCAAUGGGCGAGAGCCUGAACCAGCCAAGUAGCGUGAAGGAUGACUGCCCUAUGGGUUGUAAACUUCUUUUAUAAAGGAAUAAAGUCGGGUAUGGAUACCCGUUUGCAUGUACUUUAUGAAUAAGGAUCGGCUAACUCCGUGCCAGCAGCCGCGGUAAUACGGAGGAUCCGAGCGUUAUCCGGAUUUAUUGGGUUUAAAGGGAGCGUAGAUGGAUGUUUAAGUCAGUUGUGAAAGUUUGCGGCUCAACCGUAAAAUUGCAGUUGAUACUGGAUAUCUUGAGUGCAGUUGAGGCAGGCGGAAUUCGUGGUGUAGCGGUGAAAUGCUUAGAUAUCACGAAGAACUCCGAUUGCGAAGGCAGCCUGCUAAGCUGCAACUGACAUUGAGGCUCGAAAGUGUGGGUAUCAAACAGGAUUAGAUACCCUGGUAGUCCACACGGUAAACGAUGAAUACUCGCUGUUUGCGAUAUACUGCAAGCGGCCAAGCGAAAGCGUUAAGUAU